rnacentral:lncRNA from 1 species
ACUGCCACGAGGGUAGGGAGCUUUAGAAACGGUGAUGGGGUGCAGGGCCGGCGGCCGAUGGAUUUUAGCCGGGUUCACCCCUGUAACCCAUUACAAGGACAAUCCAUCUUUCGGAUGAAACAGUAUCUUUGGAGCGAGUCAGGUCAGACAGAGUAAUAGAGCGUGAAGCCUGGCAUAAUGACCAUCCAUUUACCUCUGCGAAACAGCCACAUCAGUUCCGAUAAUCGUCUCUUCUCUCUCCCCUGCCUGCUUCGCCUUCUCCACAGAACGAAAGGAGGUAUGUGUGUACAUUAAGUGGCUACUUCCUUGGCCGUCAAGCCCGUCCUGAUAAAAAGGGACCGUAUCAAAUAGCGUUUGUGGGCAGACGCAAACAUUUCUCAAACCGACCCGUCGGGCAAAACCGACACAACGCACCCACAAAAGGGUACGAGGAGGUCCAGCUGAGGUCAGGUUAAACAGUUCGGUUUAUGCGGUCUCGCUGGAAACCAGUGAACAGAUUUUAUGUUUACGCAAAUUAAACUCAAUCUUGGCAACCAACUUCCGGAGUGCCGGCUGGGGAGAGCCUGUGUCCGCAGGAACCCAAAGGGCAGAGGUGCCCUGAUGCGAGCAAGGUGCUCAGCCACGGGGUGCAAUUCCCCCAUCGCUUUAGAGAGAUCUCUAGGCUGAGACCCAGAGGUAAAGAGGUUGGGAGCAAAUGCUGACGAAUUUUUACAGAGGACUAAUUGUGUGGGCCACUUCUUUCCUUCGUUCCUGCAUUAAGCUGCACCGACCACUUUCCCGUCUUUGCCAAAAAAUUCAGAUUCUGACCCCACUGCCCCGGACACAUCUUAACCUUUCUUGACAACUGUAUGGGAAUGAAUGCUUUCAUUUGAUAUUACUGCUUAUAAAUACUGUGGAGAGAGUGACUCAAGGGUGACGACACCAAUUUGACAAUAACACAGACUGUCACUGGCUGAAAUCUUGACCUAACGAUGCAGUAUUUGUACACAUAAAGUCACUCGGUGGCUCAUAAAGGGGUCACCUGUAACUGGAAUGUCUCCUUCCCAGGUCGCUAUGUACAAUGAUUUGACCAUGCCAUUGGUGAGAAGAGUCUCAAAACCCUGUCCUGGUUUCCUAUGUUUAUCUUUCCUGUGAAAAGGGGCUGGAAUCAUUGUUACAUGAUAAACUGAUAGAAUAAUUUCUGCUUAUAGGAGAAAAAAAAGGGGUCACGUUUAUCUUUGAAUUGUAUAUUGGUCAGGCUUAGGUAAAGAUCAGCCUUUAUCUCCUGAACACAAACCAACUAACCACAGAGAGUGAACCAUGAGGAAACCAGUCCUGGACUUAAAAAACAAACAAACAAACAAACAAAAAACAACAACAACAAAAAACAACUCAAUAUCAUACACACCAAGUGUCAGUGAGGACGUGGAGAAACCAAAACUCUCCUAUACUGGAGGGAACCUAAAAUGGAGCAGCCACUUUGGAGAACAGCUGCAGCAUGGAAAAGUUCCUGGGACCCAUAUGGAGCAGUGACCCGAGCUGCUGUAACGACAACACUGGAUCCUUAACCCGCUACACCAUAAGGGAACUCCAGGAAUUUGGCUUUUGGACAAAGAAGAUGGGUAAACAACAAGCUGUCCCUUUGGCUAGAAUUUGCUUUGCCACCGUCCUCAGCUCUCUUUUCCUUCAUAUGGAUGCAGCUAAUGAGACCAUUAUAUGGGGCGGGGGGAGCGAACUGAUAGGCAGGGGACUUAGAAACGUACUAUAAUUUUAUUUUUGGCCACACUCAUGUCAUGUGGAAGUUCCUGGACCAGGGAUAGAAGCCAUGCCACAGCAGUGACAACGUAAGAUCCUUAACUGCUAGGCCACCCGGGAGCUCCUAUAACUUUAGAGUUCAUAAAAUCUUUGCCCAACAGUAAUUAAAACUGUCUAUGGCACCAAGAUAGACAAUAGUCCAAUAGACUGGAGUAGAGAAACUAGACACAGACAUAUGGACGCACCUGAUUUAUGACGAAAGCGGCACUGAAGAGCAUGGGAAAAAGAUGGUCUAUUCAAUAAGUGGUGCCCAGUCAACUGUUUAUCCAUAUGGGAAAUAAAUAAGCCCUGGGCUGUUGCCUCGCACACACACAAAAAUCAAUUCUAGGUGGAUGGUAGGAUGUUGAUUUGAAAGGCACAGCAUACAAGCUCACAGAAUAGAACAGAGGGAAAUAUCUUCAUGACCUUGGGGUAGGGAAUGACUUCUUGAACAAAAAUAAAAAAGCAUCAGCUGUAAAGGAAAAAACCGAUAAUCUGAACUACAUGAACAUGAAAAAUGUUUUCACAGACAACAUUAAAAGAAUGAAAACAUCAAGCACAGAGGUGGAGAAAAUAUGUGCAACACGUAACUACCAAUGGAUACAGAUACAGAAUAUGAAAAGACCUAGAAAUCAAUUUUUAAGAGAUAGUCCAAUAGAAAAAUGAUGCGCGCGACCUGAACGGGCACCUCACUAAAGAUAUCCAAAUGACCCAUCAACACACAGAAAGGGGCUUGAUCUGAAUAGCAAUAAGGGAAAUAGAAAUAAAGCCCAUAAUGUGUAUCCGUCAACGAAUGAAUGGAUAAAGACGUGGCAUACAUUCACGAUGCAUUCAGCCACGAGAAAGAAGGAAGUCCUUCCAUUUACAACAAUGUGCAUGAAUCUUGAGGGCUUCAUGGUAUCUGAAACAAGUCAGACAGAGAAAGACAAAUACUGUAUGAUAAUCACUUACAGUAGAAUCGAAAAAUGAUAAGUCAGAGAAAUAGAGAGAAGAGUGGUGACUUCCUGGGGCAUGGGGGAGGAUGGGGAAAACGGGGGGGGAUACUAGUCAAAGGGUGUAAACUUCCAAAUAUAAGAGGAUCAAGGUCUCAGGAUCUAUCACACAGCAUGGUGAUUACAGCUAAUAAUCCUGUAUCAUACACACACACACACACACACACACAAUACAUUUUGUCUUUUGUCUUUUUAGGGCUGCUCCCAUGGCUUAUGGAGGUUCCCAGGUUAGGGGUCUAAUCGGAGCUGUUGCCAAUGGCCUACUCAAGAGCCACAGCAACACCAGAUCUGAGCCAUGUCUGCGACCUACACCACAGCUCACGGCAACACCAGACCCUUAACCCACUGAGCAAGGCCAGGGGUGGAACCUGCAACCUCAUGGUUCCUAGUCAGAUCUGUUUCCACUGCACCACGACGGGAACUCCCCUAAUACUGUAUUAUAUAUUUGAAUGUGAUCUUAAACAUUCUCAGUACAAAAAAGAAAUGGUAGACGUUCCCACUGUGGCGCAGCAGAAAAGAAUCUGACUGGUAUCCAAGAGGAUGAGGGUUUGAUCCCUGGGCUCGCUCAGUGGGUUGGGGAUCCAGCACUGCCGUGAGCUGUGGUGCAGGUCACAGACGUGGCUUGGAUCCUGUGUGGCCAUGGCUGUGGCACAGGCCAGCAGCUGUAGCUCUGAUUCGACCCCUGGUGUGGAACUUCCAUAUGCCAUGGGUGUGGCCCCAAAAAGGAAGGAAAAAAAAAAAA